AGGUUAGAAUGCAGAACUGGUGAAGAUGAAGGUUAUAAUUGUGAUCUACAUAUUGAUUAAUAAUUUGAAGUAGUAUUUGUUCUUAAGACUGAAAUAAAAAAAAAACAGUGUAUUUUAGAAAGAUGUUCCACUAUUACCACAACAACAAAAAUAUUCAUUGUUUGACUGAGAGAUAAAUGAAUAAAAGUGUAAAUAAAGAGUACUAGACAC
rnacentral:lncRNA from 1 species